rnacentral:rRNA from 1 species
GGGUGAUAGUCCCGUACACCAAAAUGCACAGGCUGUGAACUCGAAGAGUAGGGCGGGACACGUGGUAUCCUGUCUGAAUAUGGGGGGACCAUCCUCCAAGGCUAAAUACUCCUGACUGACCGAUAGUGAACCAGUACCGUGAGGGAAAGGCGAAAAGAACCCCGGCGAGGGGAGUGAAAAAGAACCUGAAACCGUGUACGUACAAGCAGUGGGAGCACCUUCGGGUGUGACUGCGUACCUUUUGUAUAAUGGGUCAGCGACUUAUAUUCUGUAGCAAGGUUAACCGUAUAGGGGAGCCGCAGGGAAACCGAGUCUUAACUGGGCGUUAAGUUGCAGGGUAUAGACCCGAAACCCGGUGAUCUAGCCAUGGGCAGGUUGAAGGUUGGGUAACACUAACUGGAGGACCGAACCGACUAAUGUUGAAAAAUUAGCGGAUGACUUGUGGCUGGGGGUGAAAGGCCAAUCAAACCGGGAGAUAGCUGGUUCUCCCCGAAAGCUAUUUAGGUAGCGCCUCGUGAACUCAUCUUCGGGGGUAGAGCACUGUUUCGGCUAGGGGGUCAUCCCGACUUACCAACCCGAUGCAAACUACGAAUACCGAAGAAUGUUAUCACGGGAGACACACGGCGGGUGCUAACGUCCGUCGUGAAGAGGGAAACAACCCAGACCGCCAGCUAAGGUCCCAAAGUCACAGUUAAGUGGGAAACGAUGUGGGAAGGCACAGACAGCCAGGAUGUUGGCUUAGAAGCAGCCAUCAUUUAAAGAAAGCGUAAUAGCUCACUGGUCGAGUCGGCCUGCGCGGAAGAUGUAACGGGGCUAAACUGUGCACCGAAGCUGCGGCAGCGACACUAUGUGUUGUUGGGUAGGGGAGCGUUCUGUAAGCCUGCGAAGGUGGCCUGUGAGGGUUGCUGGAGGUAUCAGAAGUGCGAAUGCUGACAUAAGUAACGAUAAUGCGGGUGAAAAGCCCGCACGCCGGAAGACCAAGGGUUCCUGUCCAACGUUAAUCGGGGCAGGGUGAGUCGACCCCUAAGGCGAGGCCGAAAGGCGUAGUCGAUGGGAAACAGGUUAAUAUUCCUGUACU